rnacentral:rRNA from 1 species
UCUUUUAACUGUGUGCCAGCCGCCGCGGUAAUACGAAGGGGGCAAGCGUUGUUCGGAAUUACUGGGCGUAAAGGGAGUGUAGGCGGUUAUGUAAGAUAGUGGUGAAAUCCCAGAGCUUAACUUUGGAAUUGCCAUUAUGACUAUGUGGCUAGAAUUACAGAGAGGAUAGUGGAAUACCCAGUGUAGAGGUGAAAUUCGUAGAUAUUGGGUAGAACACCAGUGGCGAAGGCGACUAUCUGGCUGUAUAUUGACGCUGAGGCUCGAAAGCAUGGGGAUCAAACAGG